UUUCCGUAGGUGAGUAAACACUUCCGCCGGCGACCUCGACGCGACCGCAUGCUAACGUACUUCUCAGGUGAACCUGCGGAAGGAUCAUUAAAGAGCAAGGGUCCGCAAGGGCCCGACCUCCCACCCUUUGUCGUCGCGAAUCUUGUUGCCUCGGCGGGCCUGGCGCGCUCGCGUGCCUGCCGUAUCUUACGGAAGCACCCGCCGCAGGACCACCUUAACUCUGUUUGCACAAUGCAGUCUGAGUAACAUUAUAAUAAUCAAAACUUUCAACAACGGAUCUCUUGGUUCUGGCAUCGAUGAAGAACGCAGC
rnacentral:misc_RNA from 1 species